UGUCACUUUUGACACUUGACAGAUAGAGAUUGUUUCAGAACAAUGUUGUGUGUUUAGUUAAAUGUUAAUAAAUAAAAGUAAUGUUCCAGAUUAGAUUCAAGACAAUAUUGAAUCUACUAGAUUCUUAUAUGUACUCCAGGAAUGUGUAACUGUGCUCGUUACAGUUUUGUGGCAAACAUGGACUAACAGGUUGUGUGUUGUACGACAUUUUCGAAGAAAUAUCAGUGACCAGAAAUGGAGACUGGUUUAGCAGCGUGAAGUAUAAGGAUCUCAUCACAUAUGGUGACAAUGCCAAAGAUAUGUUGGAAUAUGCGGCUGACAACUGGCUACGUGCUAAACAGUCCAUUUGGGAUGUGAUGCAAAACCAUGUGCGUUACAGUAUAUCGCUUGUUCAGAUUUCUGGCGAAAGGUCUGUGGAGUCCUGUUUGGUGUUUCCAAAGUUUGGUAUUGGAUUCUUUAUUAAGUAAAUAACGAUACGACACGACAUUGUAUAUAUUUAUAUGACCAGACAACUGAUUAAAAUUUACAAGUUUAGAUCAUAUUCAUACACGAGUACCUAUUAGGCAACAAAGGCAAGUAGUAAAUAAACAAGUUUUGUUAAUAGAUAUACCAACACAGGAUUUGGACCAGAUAUUCAGCAUAUUAAUUCCUUACUACAUAAGCUUUUCAGUGUUACACAUCUGUAAAGUGCAGUCAUUGUUAAUAUGAUAACAGCAAAGUCAUAGUAAGAUAUAUUUAACUAUGUAUAUUUAAAUUUUCAGUAAGUAACUAUACAUAAUUAUUUAUGAACAAUGAUGUAAAAUUUAUGCACAGAUUAUAGUGGUUCUCACUAGAUAAGUGACAGAAGUCUGUAGCCUAAAGAUAUGUUUAACGAUUAUAGCGCAUUUGCGUUAAGUUUGCAUAUUUAUCUUUAUAUUUACUUGUAGAACUGUGUAUGAUACAGGAAUUUAAAACUAUGUGAAACUUGUUGAGAUGUUUUUCACUAUUUAUUAUUUAUUUUGAAAUAUGCUAUUUUUAUGGUGCAAAGGAAAAUUCUAAAGCUCCGGCUUGUCCAAGAAAGCUAUACUACGUUACAAUUUCACUAUUUGUUGAUGCUUUUGACAAUCUGGUCGCAUUAAACACUUUUAGGUACAAGUUGUUAAUAAUACUUAUAGGGGUAAUAAAAGUGGCAUUUAAACUAAUAUUUUUACCUAAACUAAAUAAUAUAAAAUGUUAUUUUAUAGAAUGUAGCAAGCUAAGAGUUUUAGUUACUAAAAGUUGUUAUUUGCAGUGCCCAUACAGGGUUCAUAACUGUUUCUUAUUCAAAUGUACCACCUUAUGUAUGUACCUAUGAAAGCAACUAAUGACUGAUUACUGAUUAAAAUUAUGGAAUAGAAUGUUAGGAAUUUGAUAAGGUAACUGGCUCCUAUAUAAAUAUUUUAAACUACUAAAUUAUUGCAUGGAAUUUUUAUGAAAAUAAUAUAUUCUACAUGUAUUUAACUGUAGAGGGUUAAUAUACAACUGAUUUUAUAUGUAUGGAUAAUUGCUAGUAUACCUACUCUCUCUUCCUCGCGUUAUCCCGGCAUUUUGCCACGGCUCAUGGGAGCCUGGGGUCCGCUUGACAGCUAAUCCCAAGAAUUUACGUAGGCACUAGUUUUUACGGAAGCGACUGCAUCUGACCUUCCAAACCAGAGGGGAAACUAGGCUUAUUGGGAUAAUUGCUAGUAUACAUUGUAAUACAAUUUAAUUUUAAAGAAAGAGAGAGGAAAUAGAUAAUAAUAAUAAAUGUCAUGUAUGUAAAUACUAAUAAGUAAGAAACAGUUAUUGUUACAGAUGUUACAUGUUAUUGAUGUGUCAGUGAGCAGUCUACCUUAACCAUGUUAAGGACUAUAU